AGAGUUUGAUCCUGGCUCAGGAUGAACGCUGGCGGCGUGCUUAACACAUGCAAGUCGAACGAUGAUCCCAGCUUGCUGGGGGAUUAGUGGCGAACGGGUGAGUAACACGUGAGUAACCUGCCCUUAACUCUGGGAUAAGCCUGGGAAACUGGGUCUAAUACCGGAUAUGACUCCUCAUCGCAUGGUGGGGGGUGGAAAGCUUUAUUGUGGUUUUGGAUGGACUCGCGGCCUAUCAGCUUGUUGGUGAGGUAAUGGCUCACCAAGGCGACGACGGGUAGCCGGCCUGAAAGGGUGACCGGCCACACUGGGACUGAGACACGGCCCAGACUCCUACGGGAGGCAGCAGUGGGGAAUAUUGCACAAUGGGCGAAAGCCUGAUGCAGCGACGCCGCGUGAGGGAUGACGGCCUUCGGGUUGUAAACCUCUUUCAGUAGGGAAGAAGCGAAAGUGACGGUACCUGCAGAAGAAGCGCCGGCUAACUACGUGCCAGCAGCCGCGGUAAUACGUAGGGCGCAAGCGUUAUCCGGAAUUAUUGGGCGUAAAGAGCUCGUAGGCGGUUUGUCGCGUCUGCCGUGAAAGUCCGGGGCUCAACUCCCGGAUCUGCGGUGGGUACGGGCAGACUAGAGUGAUGUAGGGGAGACUGGAAUUCCUGGUGUAGCGGUGAAAUGCGCAGAUAUCAGGAGGAACACCGAUGGCGAAGGCAGGUCUCUGGGCAUUAACUGACGCUGAGGAGCGAAAGCAUGGGGAGCGAACAGGAUUAGAUACCCUGGUAGUCCAUGCCGUAAACGUUGGGCACUAGG
rnacentral:rRNA from 1 species